rnacentral:rRNA from 1 species
GACGAACGCUGGCGGCAUGCUUAACACAUGCAAGUGGAGCGACGAACCUUUUAGGGGCAAAGCCGCGAACGGGUGAGUAACACGUGGGCAAUCUGCCCCGAUGACUGGAAUAACACGAGGAAACUCGUGCUAAUACCGGAUGUGCUUGCACCUCAUCAGAGGUGUCAGUAAAGGUAGCUUCGGCUAACCGCAUCGGGAGGAGCCUGCGCAGCAUUAGUUUGUUGGUGAGGUAACGGCUCACCAAGACUACGAUGCUUAGCUGGUCUGAGAGGACGAUCAGCCACACUGGAACUGAGACACGGUCCAGACUCCUACGGGAGGCAG